ensembl:snoRNA small nucleolar RNA SNORA13
GGCCUUCAUGUGUUGCCCGUUCAUUUCCUUUCCAAAGUGAAUGCGGUGUCAGAGAAGGCAUACAUUAACUCUUGUUGUGAUCUUAAAUGGGAUUCAAAGUACUUCCAUUAAAUAAGCUCUGCAAUAAGAACAUAA